UAGGGAAUAUUGGACAAUGGGGGCAACCCUGAUCCAGCAAUGCCGCGUGAGUGAUGAAGGCCUUAGGGUUGUAAAGCUCUUUUACCCGGGAUGAUAAUGACAGUACCGGGAGAAUAAGCCCCGGCUAACUCCGUGCCAGCAGCCGCGGUAAUACGGAGGGGGCUAGCGUUGUUCGGAAUUACUGGGCGUAAAGCGCACGUAGGCGGCGAUUUAAGUCAGAGGUGAAAGCCCGGGGCUCAACCCCGGAAUAGCCUUUGAGACUGGAUUGCUUGAACAUCGGAGAGGUGAGUGGAAUUCCGAGUGUAGAGGUGAAAUUCGUAGAUAUUCGGAAGAACACCAGUGGCGAAGGCGGCUCACUGGACGAUUGUUGACGCUGAGGUGCGAAAGCGUGGGGAGCAAACA
rnacentral:rRNA from 1 species